rnacentral:misc_RNA from 1 species
UCCUGGUUAACCCAGGCAGUCUCAUUAGAGUUCCCACCCUAAGUGUUGGCAACUAAUGAUAAGGGUUGCGCUCGUUGCGGGACUUAACCCAACACCUCACGGCACGAGCUGACGACAGCCAUGCAGCACCUGUUCAGAGGCCCCGAAGGGAGAGGUUGUUUCCAACCCUGUCCUCUGUAUGUCAAGCCUGGGUAAGGUUUUUCGCGUUGCAUCGAAUUAAACCACAUACUCCACUGCUUGUGCGGGUCCCCGUCAAUUCUUUUGAGUUUCAGCCUUGCGACUGUACUCCUCAGGCGGCAUACUUAACGCGUUAGCUUCGGCACAUCCGGGGUUGAGUCCGGAUACACCAAGUAUGCAUCGUUUACGGCUAGGACUAC